GCUAGAGUGACGGGAACUUGGUAUACCUGCUGGCUUCAAACGCCGGCGCUUGUGGGUUCAAAUCCCACCUCUAGUACCA
rnacentral:tRNA from 1 species